GAUUUGGGGCUUCUCCUCUUCGCGGUCGCUAUCUGAGCUAUGGUCGUCGAAAUCAACUUUUUGACGCUAAAGUUUUCCACAUUAAUUUUUUCAAUCCAGCAAAGCGCUUCUAAUAAUUACCUUGGUUUCAACAGUUGGCCCCUCUUUAUACCCGAUUUGUGACUUUAACUUGGCUAGAAAACUCGGAUCUUGUGGUUUAACAUACGAUAUAUUACGCUUUCCAGACAUAAUUGGUACACUCCCUCUUUACCAAUCUACGCACGUUUUAACAUGCAGUGACACACAAGUUUAAAAUGACAUAAAACAUUCAAAAAUACACUUGCAUUCACAAUCUUUCGGAUAUAUAAUAAAAUAACGAAUCAAAACAAAUACGCUAAAAUCUUCACAAUAUAAUAAAAUACGCGGUAACUUCUAUACAAACGCUCACGUUUUGCCGCUAAUUUAAUGACAUCUUCGACUCAUGAUCGGAAAACAGGGUGGACAACCAGAUAAACAAAAAAAUAUUAAUCAUAUACAUAUGUAUAUAGAAAUUUAUAGUAAUCUAGCAACUCCGUGAAGGCGAAACUUGAGGCAAAGCGUAAAUGUGAAUUUUGGCGAAGCAAAACAAAGCACGAAAUCAGGACAGCAUGUCAUACAAAAUGCAAAACAAGAUAUUUAAUCUUGUAGAUGCAUACAGUGGUGGGCGAAUAAAUGUUAUGCAUGUAUUAUAUAUGUAUAUCUAGUGUAUGCUUAAGUAAAUAAAGUACAGUUACUA